UACGGGGGGGGCAAGCGUUGUUCGGAAUUACUGGGCGUAAAGGGCUCGUAGGCGGCCAACUAAGUCAGACGUGAAAUCCCUCGGCUUAACCGGGGAACUGCGUCUGAUACUGGAUGGCUUGAGUGUGGGAGAGGGAUGCGGAAUUCCAGAUGUAGCGGUGAAAUGCGUAGAUAUCUGGAGGAACACCGGUGGCGAAGGCGGCAUCCUGGACCAUUACUGACGCUGAUGAGCGAAAGCCAGGGGAGCAAACGGG
rnacentral:rRNA from 1 species